GUAGGGUGCGAGCGUUAAUCGGAAUUACUGGGCGUAAAGCGUGCGCAGGCGGUUUUAUAAGCCAGAUGUGAAAGCCCCGGGCUCAACCUGGGAAUGGCAUUUGGGACUGUAAGGCUGGAGUAUGGCAGAGGAGACUAGAAUUCCUGGUGUAGCAGUGAAAUGCGUAGAUAUCAGGAGGAAUACCGAUGGCGAAGGCAGGUCUCUGGGCCAAUACUGACGCUCAUGCACGAAAGCGUGGGGAGCAGACAGGAUUAGAUACCCUGGUAGUCCACGCCCUAAACGAUGUCAACUGGUUGUUGGGGGAUUUAUUCUCUUAGUAACGAAGCUAACGCGUGAAGUUGACCGCCUGGGGAGUACGGUCGCAAGAUUA
rnacentral:rRNA from 1 species